rnacentral:rRNA from 1 species
UACGGAGGAUGCGAGCGUUAUCCGGAUUUAUUGGGUUUAAAGGGUGCGUAGGCGGAUCGUUAAGUCAGUGGUUAAAUUGAGGGGCUCAACCCCUUCCCGCCAUUGAAACUGGCGAUCUUGAGUGGAAGAGAAGUAUGCGGAAUGCGUGGUGUAGCGGUGAAAUGCAUAGAUAUCACGCAGAACCCCGAUUGCGAAGGCAGCAUGCCGGCUUCCGACUGACGCUGAAGCACGAAAGCGUGGGGAUCGAACAGG